AGUUUUAUAAUAUUCCGGGAUUUAUAAAAAUAUUUUGGUGAUGUUUCCAAGAUAUUAUAAUAGCGAGAUAUUCCGAUAAUUUAGUUAAAAGCAGGUCCGAGUCUUCAGAUUAUUAUGGGCACGUGGAAGUAAAAGACUUAACCACGUACCCCUUUUUUUAGCACCGCCACCGUUUAUUCCACCACCGCCUUUGUAUAUACACAAUACUUCUUCCUUUUUAUCUCAAACAUCAGUCUCCUUCUAAUCUCUCCCCCUUUCGAAAUCUUUUCUCUGUCGACAGCCUCCCUUCUAUUCUGUUAAACUUCCCCGCUGACCGAUAUGCUCCAGACAAGUCGCCGCCGCUGGUUCCGAUUCCGGCCAAACCUGUUGUGGUCACCCGCGAAUUUCUUCUUGUCCAUGCCUCCUGCUUCUUCCCGGUCGGAAGUUAUCGAUUCUUUUCUCUCCAGGUUUCUCUAUUAUUGAGUCUCCAAAACCUGCAUCAGCUGUGGCAUGUUUGUCCGACGACACAAGCUUUAUUCCACCCCUCGAGUUCAACACAGUUCGAAUAGAUCAAGACGUGUAUAUCGAGAAUGUUCAAAAUUAAUCCGAUGGUGUUGCAAGUUGAAGCAAGAAUAAUCUGAGAAGACAUAUAUAGAAAGAGUAUUGUCAGAAGCUGCUUAGAAAGAUAUGAUUGUGCGGUAUAGUGCUAUUAGAAUCGUGGCUAGACAUUGGAGUUAAGGCAAGUAUUUCUAUACUUCUCUUGUGGUUAAAAGUAAGCGAUUCUUAUCUUCCUCUUGACCCCGAACUCUCUUUUAUAAAUGGUUCAUUUUUAUCUUAACAUCAUUCUUGUGAAGCAUAUCUGGUAAGUUGAAUACCUUCAGUUGAAUUGAUAAUACCUUUGACCUGCUACCGAAACUUCGAUUUUCAUAAAAGAUUUACAAACUACUGAAGGUAGUAACUAUUUCGAUUUGCUACAAAAUGAAUUUUGUUUAACAAGACAAGACACUUGCAUUCUUGAAUUUCCCAAAUCAUAUUGUUAAAGCUGUAGCUUUUAAAUUUAAUAUAUUGGGUAGUUUUGCGUAAGAGGCUCAGACAUCGGCCCAGCGUGAAAGGUGGCUCCUUCAGCCCGGAUUACCGGAAUUCGUAAUAUUUGUCGACCUUGCUGAAUAAGCUUGGUUUAUGGACUAUAGCAUGACUGAUCAUCUGUUAUAGCCAGGUGUCUUAUUUAAACCCAAUUAUAUAUUGAUUAGUUUCAAAGGUAAUUAUCUUAUGGUCAAAAGAUAAUGGAAUUUACUUUUAUCUCUACAGCUUUAAAUUCAUAUAUUGAUGCAGAAUUGCUUUAUCAUUGUAUACCAUUUUACUCUUUUAUACUGAACUGUUGAUUUACAACAUCAUGUUUAAACCAGAGUUUACUUUUACUUCAAACAUUCUGAUUCACUUAAGUAUAUAUAUAUUUUGUGGCUUUCACCUAUCAUAUUCUUGCUGAGCAUUAUUGCUCAUUCUUGCUAUUCCUUUUAACCUUUUUCAGCUAGGGAUAAAGAUGAUUCACUAAAGACUGUGCGUAAGAGUAAUGAUAGGCAUGAUUGCAAGUGGUUGAGUUCAGGCAGACGGUCAGGUAGAGUAUCGAGGACGAUGUCAUUAAACUAGUUGCAGUUGGAGUUGUGCAAUUCAAUUCAGUUGAAAAUGAGAUUUGUUUAUUUGGUUAUCAGCUACUCUUCUUAUCUGAUAGUGUAGAUUAAUUUGUAACUAAAUUUUAUAGUUUUAGUUUCUGAUUUCAAUGCAGUAACCUGUAUGCGAUCCUGUUUUCAGGGGGUGAAAUUGAUUUUGAAUUUAAAUCAUUUUAAAAAAAAAAUAUCCAGGUUUUGAAAUACUUGUUUUUACUUUCUUUCAAAGACACAGGUUUUAAAUUGUUUUUCUUUUAGUGGCUCAAAAAUACAGGUUUUAAAUUAUUUUUAUUUACACGUGGCACCAAAUCCAGACCCCCGGAUUUGAAGGAUGUCACAGUUGGUAUCAGAGCUACAGGUUAUAAGUUAUUGAAAUCAGAAUGUAGGUUAUAAUACUAGGUCUAGUGAGAAGGAUCGCGUAGUGUAACCUCACGUAGAGGUAUCGUAUGACUAUUUGGGGAUAGUCUUUCUGAGCAGAAAAAAAAAAUGAAGCUAGAUGAUUAAGUUUAAGUGUUUAGAGUUAUUGACAUUAGAAUUCGUAAUUCCAGUUCUUCCAGCCCUAGUAUAUUGACCAAUUUAGUGUUAUAUCAUAUAAAGAGGGUCAGAAUUAGACUAUCAGAAGAACCUUAAUAUUGGAACCAGUUGAGGUUAGACUAGUAGACAUUCUCACACAGUCUAAUGUAUCAUUAUAGUACCUGCUAAGUGUUGAGUGCUAUUUGGGAUUCACCUUUUGAUUUUUGUCAGAGAUAUAUAGAAUUGGUGAAAGGACAUGUCCACGUUUAAAGCUCUGUAUAUAUUUAAGGAGUGAGUGUUAGAGCUACGUAAAUUUCGUGUUAGAUUACUCGAUCUAGUACUUAUGAGUGAGUUAAGACGUCAACACUCUAUGUUGAUAAUUUUAUAAAGUUGGAUAAGACUUCUGACUGAAAUUGAUAUCAAUAAUGGGAUCUUCAGAGACUAUUACGAGUCAACGAUAAUAUAUACAAGUGAUCACUAGAACGUCGAGAAGAAUCAUUAGAAUCAAACGAGUUAUCAAAGGAAUCGAUCAACAAGACAUCUGUGAGAAUCCUGGCAAUACCUUCCUCACUGUUGAUUAUAUUGAUUUCUUUCCUCAUCAUUGAUUUGUUCUGACAUCACUUUCAUAAAGACAUUCGGUGAAGAAUAUAUCUUUCCCUCUCACUUGAGUUCUCAAAUGAUAAUUGUGUUUACCGUAACACCUUUGGCAUCUAUUCAAUUUUUGAUAAUUUUGGACCCUUUCAUAUUCUCUACUCUAACUGAGGUGAACAACCCUACUUACAGGGGACACAAGGACUAUCUGUCUGUGUGAUAGAAGUUGGAUGGGACGCCAUCACUUGUGUGUGUUGUAUACACAAGAAGGUUAACUACCUUUAGUAGUGUCUUAAUCCAGACACGCAACACUGAGUUCUUUAGAUCAUAUUGGUCUCUCAGUUAUUCCCCCAUUCAAAUGAGCUUUAUUCAACAAACUCAUAAUUCUAUGACCACAAUCAUGUGACAUUUGCUUCGAUAUAUGAAAUCUGUCAUACUUUUAAAUCUUCAAAAUUCUUGUUAUCUCAAAUAGUUUGAAGGUAUGCCAAUCAAGUUUCCAAUAUGAAUUAAGACUUUGUAGUAAGGUGUACCAUGGAUAAAAGCAGAUGACAACGCGGGUAUCCGGCAGCGAUCAAGAAAAAUAUUAUAUCAUAAACAACGAGUAUUACGGAUUAUAGAGAUCGUGCGCUCCAGUUUGCUUUCCGUUGAUUCCGAGGACGGAAUCUUUUUAAGGGGGGUAGAUUGUGACGACCCGGAAUUUCAGAAAUUAUUUUAUUAUUUUUAUUCCUGAUUUUUCGAGGGAAAUGAGGAAUGAAAUUUCAAUAUUUUAUUCCAGUUUGAUAAUUUUCAAAAAUAUUUGUUUAAACUAUUUUUUUAGUCAUUGGGUUAGCGAAAUUUUAUUGUCUAUUUUAAAUUAAAUUUCAUGUUAUCUAUGAAUUACGUGUUACGUGGCUAAAUGCUAGUUAUGUGUUGGCUAUUUUGUGAAUUAAUAAUUGUUGUAUUGAAUUGAAUACCAUGUUAAAUAUAUGACUUACUUGUUCUAUGAUUUAACUUUAGUAUCUGGAUGUGAUUUAUGCUUGUGUGUAUAUCUGUUACAAACUGUUGUGUUGUUUUAUAAAUAUUUAUGAUUUUCUUUAAAAUGGAUUAUAGGAAAAUGAAUUUCUUAAAAUACAAAAAUGACUUGUAAAAUUCUUUUAAUUACUUGAAAAUGGUAAUGAAUAUUUUUAGGAGUUUUGAAAAUAUUAAAAAUAUUAUUUUUAUAGAAGUUUCAUGUUUAAAUAUUUCUUGAACACAAUUAACUUCUAAAUUACGUAUAAAUUUCAGUAAUGCUUCAUAAAUCCCGAAACUUUUAUUUUAUUAGUUUUAUAAUAUUCCGGGAUUUAUAAAAAUAUUUUGGUGAUGUUUCCAAGAUAUUAUAAUAGCGAGAUAUUCCGAUAAUUUAGUUAAAAGCAGGUCCGAGUCUUCAGAUUAUUAUGGGCACGUGGAAGUAAAAGACUUAACCACGUACCCCUUUUUUUAGCACCGCCACCGUUUAUUCCACCACCGCCUUUGUAUAUACACAAUACUUCUUCCUUUUUAUCUCAAACAUCAGUCUCCUUCUAAUCUCUCCCCCUUUCGAAAUCUUUUCUCUGUCGACAGCCUCCCUUCUAUUCUGUUAAACUUCCCCGCUGACCGAUAUGCUCCAGACAAGUCGCCGCCGCUGGUUCCGAUUCCGGCCAAACCUGUUGUGGUCACCCGCGAAUUUCUUCUUGUCCAUGCCUCCUGCUUCUUCCCGGUCGGAAGUUAUCGAUUCUUUUCUCUCCAGGUUUCUCUAUUAUUGAGUCUCCAAAACCUGCAUCAGCUGUGGCAUGUUUGUCCGACGACACAAGCUUUAUUCCACCCCUCGAGUUCAACACAGUUCGAAUAGAUCAAGACGUGUAUAUCGAGAAUGUUCAAAAUUAAUCCGAUGGUGUUGCAAGUUGAAGCAAGAAUAAUCUGAGAAGACAUAUAUAGAAAGAGUAUUGUCAGAAGCUGCUUAGAAAGAUAUGAUUGUGCGGUAUAGUGCUAUUAGAAUCGUGGCUAGACAUUGGAGUUAAGGCAAGUAUUUCUAUACUUCUCUUGUGGUUAAAAGUAAGCGAUUCUUAUCUUCCUCUUGACCCCGAACUCUCUUUUAUAAAUGGUUCAUUUUUAUCUUAACAUCAUUCUUGUGAAGCAUAUCUGGUAAGUUGAAUACCUUCAGUUGAAUUGAUAAUACCUUUGACCUGCUACCGAAACUUCGAUUUUCAUAAAAGAUUUACAAACUACUGAAGGUAGUAACUAUUUCGAUUUGCUACAAAAUGAAUUUUGUUUAACAAGACAAGACACUUGCAUUCUUGAAUUUCCCAAAUCAUAUUGUUAAAGCUGUAGCUUUUAAAUUUAAUAUAUUGGGUAGUUUUGCGUAAGAGGCUCAGACAUCGGCCCAGCGUGAAAGGUGGCUCCUUCAGCCCGGAUUACCGGAAUUCGUAAUAUUUGUCGACCUUGCUGAAUAAGCUUGGUUUAUGGACUAUAGCAUGACUGAUCAUCUGUUAUAGCCAGGUGUCUUAUUUAAACCCAAUUAUAUAUUGAUUAGUUUCAAAGGUAAUUAUCUUAUGGUCAAAAGAUAAUGGAAUUUACUUUUAUCUCUACAGCUUUAAAUUCAUAUAUUGAUGCAGAAUUGCUUUAUCAUUGUAUACCAUUUUACUCUUUUAUACUGAACUGUUGAUUUACAACAUCAUGUUUAAACCAGAGUUUACUUUUACUUCAAACAUUCUGAUUCACUUAAGUAUAUAUAUAUUUUGUGGCUUUCACCUAUCAUAUUCUUGCUGAGCAUUAUUGCUCAUUCUUGCUAUUCCUUUUAACCUUUUUCAGCUAGGGAUAAAGAUGAUUCACUAAAGACUGUGCGUAAGAGUAAUGAUAGGCAUGAUUGCAAGUGGUUGAGUUCAGGCAGACGGUCAGGUAGAGUAUCGAGGACGAUGUCAUUAAACUAGUUGCAGUUGGAGUUGUGCAAUUCAAUUCAGUUGAAAAUGAGAUUUGUUUAUUUGGUUAUCAGCUACUCUUCUUAUCUGAUAGUGUAGAUUAAUUUGUAACUAAAUUUUAUAGUUUUAGUUUCUGAUUUCAAUGCAGUAACCUGUAUGCGAUCCUGUUUUCAGGGGGUGAAAUUGAUUUUGAAUUUAAAUCAUUUUAAAAAAAAAAUAUCCAGGUUUUGAAAUACUUGUUUUUACUUUCUUUCAAAGACACAGGUUUUAAAUUGUUUUUCUUUUAGUGGCUCAAAAAUACAGGUUUUAAAUUAUUUUUAUUUACACGUGGCACCAAAUCCAGACCCCCGGAUUUGAAGGAUGUCACAUAAUAUGGAACUUCAACUAAAUAUGGAGUGAGCUGUUUCGAUAGUAAAACUACAUCAGAUAAGUGUUAGCUAAGGCAUCUAAAGCUCUCGCACUUGUAUGUCAAAACAAGGAGCUCUUUCUAUUCGUAAGAAGAGAAUUGGUGAGAGGACUACCUCAUCUGGAAUUCAAUAUGGAUGAAGAUUAUGAGGUAUGUCAAUAGGGAAGUCGAAGGAGCAUCGCACAGAAGCAAAGAUAUGAUUAACAUUACUGAGCCGCUUCAGAUGAUACGUAUGGAUUUCUACGGAUCAGUUAAUGUCAUGUCUGCAAACAAAGCAAGAUAUCUUUUUGCGAUGAUCGUUGACUACUCUAGAUUCUUUCGUGUUGUUCGUAUGUGUUCAAAGGACAAGACGUCACAAAUGUAGGUUGAUCAAGAUGAACCCUGAUCAUUGAAAAAUCCAGAAAGACACCAUUCUUGUCAGUGGCCAA